rnacentral:rRNA from 1 species
AUUGAACGCUGGCGGCAGGCCUAACACAUGCAAGUCGAACGAGUGGCGGACGGGUGAGUAAUGUCUGGGAAACUGCAUGAUGGAGGGGGAUAACUACUGGAAACGGUAGCUAAUACCGCAUACCAUCAGAUGUGCCCAGAUUGGAUUAGCUUCUUGGUGGGGUAACGGCUCACCAAGGCGACGAACCCUAGCUGGUCUGAGAGGAUGACCAGCCACAAUGGAACUGAGACACGGUCCAGACUCCUACGGGAGGCAGCAGUUGUGAAUAUUGCACAAUGGGCGCAAGCGUGAUGCAGCCAUGCCGCGUGUAUGAAGAAGUCCGUAGGGUUUUAAAGUACCUUCAGCUGGUAGGCGUUACCCGCAGAAGAAGCUCCGGCUAACUCCGUGCCAGCAGCCGCGGUAAUAC